rnacentral:piRNA from 1 species
UGUGAAUGGAUCUGGAGGUUGGA